rnacentral:rRNA from 1 species
CAGUCGCCACGGUAAUACGUAGGUGGCAAGCGUUGUCCGGAAUUAUUGGGCGUAAAGCGCGCGCAGGUGGUUUAAUAAGUCUGAUGUGAAAGCCCACGGCUCAACCGUGGGGGGUCAUUGGAAACUGUUAAACUUGAGUGCAGGAGAGAAAAGUGGAAUUCCUAGUGUAGCGGUGAAAUGCGUAGAGAUUAGGAGGAACACCAGUGGCGAAGGCGGCUUUUUGGCCUGUAACUGACACUGAGGCGCGAAAGCGUGGGGAGCAAACAGGAUUAGAUACCCCUGUAGUCCCUGUCUCUUAUAA